UGGGGAAUUUUGGACAAUGGGCGAAAGCCUGAUCCAGCAAUGCCGCGUGUGUGAAGAAGGCCUUCGGGUUGUAAAGCACUUUUGUCCGGAAAGAAAUCCUUGGCUCUAAUACAGUCGGGGGAUGACGGUACCGGAAGAAUAAGCACCGGCUAACUACGUGCCAGCAGCCGCGGUAAUACGUAGGGUGCAAGCGUUAAUCGGAAUUACUGGGCGUAAAGCGUGCGCAGGCGGUUUGCUAAGACCGAUGUGAAAUCCCCGGGCUCAACCUGGGAACUGCAUUGGUGACUGGUAGGCUAGAGUAUGGCAGAGGGGGGUAGAAUUCCACGUGUAGCAGUGAAAUGCGUAGAGAUGUGGAGGAAUACCGAUGGCGAAGGCAGCCCCCUGGGCCAAUACUGACGCUCAUGCACGAAAGCGUGGGGAGCAAACAGGAUUAGAUACCCUGGUAGUCCACGCCCUAAACGAUGUCAACUGGUUGUUGGGAAGGUUCCUUCUCAGUAACGUAGCUAACGCGUGAAGUUGACCGCCUGGGGAGUACGGCCGCAAGGUUGAAACUCAAAUGAAUUGAC
rnacentral:rRNA from 1 species